rnacentral:snRNA from 1 species
AUACUUACCUGGUGCCGGGAACUCCGUGGUCAGGAAGGCGGAGACCCCAAAAGGAGGCCCUUCCAUUGCACUUCGGAAGGGCUGAGACCUGCCACUCUCCCAAACUGGGAAAGAUGGGGCAUGUAAUUUUUGGUAGAGGGGGUUGCGCGAACGCAGACCCCCA